GGAUAUAAUAUGGUGACUGGGCCCAGUGACUUUAACGGAUUAAAAAUAAAGGCCCAAUGUUCCCGGCCCAAAGAUAAGAAAUAUCACGACCCAAUAUUGCCCCCUAGUUUUUUGUUAAACAGAAUGUUUAGUAGAAAACUAUGAAUGGCCCAAGAUAGUUUACUAAAGGUCCAUAAUAGGAGAUAAUUGAAGUAUACCCAAUCGCUGUUCACGAAAUGAAAGGAGAAGAGAAUAGAGGCCCAAAUCAGAAAAGCCCUAUUUAAUAGAUACAUGGACCCGGAACCGGACCCUUCCCAUUCAAAUUCCAAAUCAUUACUAACAUUUAAGAGCCGGCCUUGAACACCGUGUAACCGUCAGUAUAAAAGGUAACUUUACUAACUUUGACAGUUUUACCUGCCCAUUUGAAAUUCGAGCGCCUUCUGAACUCACAAAGCAUUAUAUCAAAUUAACCCUUAUUAAUUUAGAAUAAUGAAUAAAGGAAAAUUCAAUUUUAUUUAUAAUAAGUUGGGGUCUUACAUUUAAUGAGCCGGCCUUUAACAUCGUGUAACCGUCAGUAUAAAAGGUAACUUUACCAACUUUGACAGUUUUACCUGCCCAUUUGAAAUUCGAGCGCCUUCUGAACUCUCUAACUUUCUGAACUUUCUCUUUUCUUCUGCAACUUGUCAACAAUGGCUUCCCAAAAUUCUGAACAAGGUUCUCCCAUACUAGUAACACCGAUCACUGUUGUUCCGCCAAACCCUACCGCUCACGAAGAAACUUCGG
rnacentral:lncRNA from 1 species